UCGCUCUCCCCUUUCUUCCUCCAACCCGAGCCGCCUCUGGCUGCUCUUCCAUCGAGAGGAACGAAGCCCCUCCCUCCCCCCUCCCCUGUGCUCCGUCUUCUAUCUCACCUCCCGUGAUCUCUGCCGUCCCACCUCCCCCGAUUCACCUUCAGAUCGAGGCUUCCAGAUGCUGCGUCGAGAGUAGCACCGCCACGCCCAACUCCGCUCCCUUCUGGUGCUACUCCAUGCUCAGCAGAUCUGGUCGCGAAAAGGACGGCGCCCCAUCACCCCUGCUGGAUCCGCCGAGCCAGCUGCCGGAUCUAUCGAGAUCGCGCCGGGAUCCCCAGCCUUGCUCCUCCCCUGCCUUCUCCUCCGUCGACAGUAGGCAGCAGAGCAAGGCGCGGGCGACUGCUCCGGCCAGAGGGGGGCGUGAGGUGCGACGCGACCUCACUGGGGCGCGACUCCGUUAGCCAGCACCGGCGCCCAACUGGGAUCCACCGAACCCAGGCGCGGCCUACGGCGGGCAUGCGGAUUUGAGUUCAACAGGAGAGCUCGCACGAGAUUGAGCGCUGCUCCCGUCUUCCAGCGAACCCAAAAGAGAGCAGAGGAGGAGAUUACCAAGGGCGUUGGUCCAUCGAUCGGUAUCGACCUCGGGAUGACCUACUCCUGCGUUGGCAUGUGGCAGAAGGUCAACAUCAUGGGCAACGACCAGGCCACCAUGGCAACUGCACCACGCCCUCCUACGUCUCCAUCAUCAGCGACGCCGCCAGGAACCAGGUCGCAAUGAACUCCACCAACAGCGUCUUCUGUUCGCCACUGUUGAGUAUUGGAGAUCGUGUGUGAUUGAAACAGCAUUGACAUCGAUCUUGGCGAGGAUGACACAUGGCUUGCUGGCCUUAAACAUAUUUUGUACUGAGAUAUCUGUAAUGUCUCAUGUGACGUUUUUUUGUAAUUUUGACAUAGGCUGUUAUGGUUCUGCAUGGUUCUUGUGAUGUUCUAAUGGUUGUCUUAAUGUGACCUUAAUGAUGCUUAAUUUGUGAUUGGUGUGAUUGGCGUAUUGGUAAUCAA